GACGUAGGGGGCCAGCGUUGUUCGGAAUUACUGGGUGUAAAGGGUUCGUAGGCGGUGCGGCAAGUCGGGAGUGAAAUCUCUGGGCUCAACCCAGAGGCUGCUUCCGAAACUGCUGUGCUUGAGUGUGGGAGAGGCGCGUGGAAUUGCAGGUGUAGCGGUGAAAUGCGUAGAUAUCUGGAGGAACACCGGUGGCGAAGGCGGCAUCCUGGACCGGUAUUGACGCUGAGGCGCGAAAGCUAGGGGAGCAAACGGG
rnacentral:rRNA from 1 species